CCACCUCUGUCCGGCUCCCCGCCAGCCCCCGCGCGGGAUCGUUGGCUAGCCCCGCCAGGCGCCCGCCCCUCGUACCGGGAGCGGGCGGUGGCCGUGGGGCGCCCCCUGCCGGCGCACGGCUGUCGUGCCCCGCUGUCCUCAGCUUCGCCCUGGCCGCCAUGGGACUGUGCGGUCGCCCCAGGUUUCUUCUAGGGCCCGCUCCUUUGCGGGAACCCAUAGACUUCCCCGCCCUCGGCAAUGUCCUGCCGCUUGACCCUGCUAUUUUUCGAGGGCAGGGGAGCUUUGAGUUGGUUGCUUUACCUUCCCAGAACUUCAAGAUGGACCUCCAUCUCCCUGAAAGUCUGGGUCUGCAUACGUGAGAUAGCUCACUAGAGGGCCAGUGUUUUGAGAUUGCCUGUGGUCCACACGGAGUCACCAGAUACGGGUUAACAUUACCUGGAGGCAGAAUGGGGAGGCAACAGUGAGGCCAGCUGCACGAAUUUGGAAACAGGGAGCUAAGUGCUCUCUGAGCUAGAAAAUCUGAGCUAGAAAAUGAGCAUAAAAAGCACCAGGUUACUUGAAGGAGGCAGAAAGACUCAGGCCACUGAGACGGACUGAAGCCUGAAUAAAAAUACUAACUCGUUCAAACAACCGCUGAGGAACCACAGAGCCCUGAGGAGUAGCAGGUGUCUACACUGGCUAAGUGCAGCUCAGGUGAGGGACGGGUAGUGAUUUGUGGAAAGAGAUGCGUCUGACUACUCUGACCUCAUUGAACAUUCUAGUCGCGGUCACGUGCUCGCCAAGAGACCCUCUCGCAGCCCUCCUCGGCUUCUCCCAUAGCCUGCCCCACAGGGAGGAUGAAACUUCCUGUCAGAGGGUGACAGUAAUGGCUCCCUUUGGGAGUUGUUUCUCCUCCUUCACCAAAAUAUUUAAAAACACCGACUUCGGAACUAGCUUCCAAUUCCAGCACAGCGUCCCCUCUCUUCAGCGGCCACCGAGGAGCCGCUGAACCAUUUUCAUAAGAGAAUCAUUAUGAAGCUUUCUUCAGAGCUUCCUUCGAGGUAGGUUAGGCCCCGCUGGGUGAGCGUGCAGCUCCAUCCCGUGACUAGCUCGCGUCUGCAAUGCCGCGCCAGGUUCUCGGGCGAGAACUCACUGCUUGCGGUCGGCCAUCUUUCUGCAUGGCGGCGGCGAGGGGACGGUCGCUGCUGUUCCUGCUGAGGAGAAAGUGGACGCAAAGAAGAAGAAUCUGAGGAGUCUCGUGAUGACGUGCACUUUGGUCUGUCUGACUAACACCCCCUUGCCCCGGCCCUGUACACUGUUCAGUAAAAACUGAAGUCUGAAAGAAAAAGAAAGAAAGAAAAAAGGAAAAAGGAAAGGGGAAAGGAAAGGAAAAGUUCUGGCUCUGCAGCUUUCAAACUGGUGGGUGACCUUGGGCCUGUGACUGGACCUUCUUGUGCCUCCGUUUCCUCAUCCGUAAAAUGGAGACAUGAAGGGUACGUGCCUCCUACUAGUGAGGACUCGUGAGUCCAGCCUGUGAGAACUCGCAGCGCCGGGCAAGCAGUUGGCGCUGUGUCUGCUGUGGUGCUCGUGGAAGAUGACUCACUUGGCACCCUGGCUCAUCCAGCUCGUGCUCUGGGGGCCUAGACUCUGAGACGCUGGCGCCCCUGAGGCACUGUCCUACUCUCUCCGUGCUGGUAGGGUCAGUUUCCUGAGCCUGCACCUGGAGAGGAAGACAUUCAGCUAUGGUGACUUCUCCUAAGAGGUUCUGAGCAAGGACAGCUAAGGAUCCAGAUCACCCAAAAGUGCCAAUUAAGGGAACUUGACUGUAUAUCCAGAUGACAAAAGUGCUACUAAUCAUCCAGAAGUUUCUCUUCAGUGUCUACUUUGUAAGAAGUGGCUGGUGAAUUCAUCUGUACCAGGCGCUGGUAUUUUCAUAACUUCAGCU